UGCGUAGGCGGGCUAAUAAGUCAGUGGUGAAAUCUUUCGGCUCAACCGAGAAACUGCCAUUGAUACUGCUAGUCUUGAGUUCGGUUGAGGUAGGCGGAAUGUGUAAUGUAGCGGUGAAAUGCUUAGAUAUUACACAGAACACCAAUUGCGUAGGCAGCUUACUAGACCGACACUGACGCUGAGGCACGAAAGCGUGGGGAGCGAACAGGAUUAGAUACCCUGGUAGUCC
rnacentral:rRNA from 1 species